rnacentral:ncRNA from 1 species
GAUGGAGGAAAUCAUGUAGCGAGACUCUCGAGCCUACGUAUAGAAACUUGGUAAAAGACUAAAUGGGAAAGAGUAAGACUACAUGACAAGUCGAAGCCCGAAUGGUAAACGUAUUCUCCAAGACAGUAAACAAAGAGGUUGUGGAGU